UACGGAGGGGGCUAGCGUUGUUCGGAAUUACUGGGCGUAAAGCGCACGUAGGCGGCUUUGUAAGUUAGAGGUGAAAGCCCGGGGCUCAACUCCGGAAUUGCCUUUAAGACUGCAUCGCUAGAAUUCGUGGAGAGGUAAGUGGAAUUCCGAGUGUAGAGGUGAAAUUCGUAGAUAUUCGGAAGAACACCAGUGGCGAAGGCGGCGCACUGGACCACAACUGACGCUGAGGCGGCGAAAGCUAGGGGAGCAAACAGG
rnacentral:rRNA from 1 species